GACGAACGCUGGCGGCGUGCUUAACACAUGCAAGUCGAACGAUGAACUGGAGCUUGCUCCAGGGAUUAGUGGCGAACGGGUGAGUAACACGUGAGUAACCUGCCCUUGACUCUGGGAUAAGCGCUAGAAAUGGCGUCUAAUACCGGAUACGAGCUUCAGCCGCAUGGCUAGGAGUUGGAAAGAAUUUUGGUCAAGGAUGGACUCGCGGCCUAUCAGCUAGUUGGUGAGGUAAUGGCUCACCAAGGCGACGACGGGUAGCCGGCCUGAGAGGGUGACCGGCCACACUGGGACUGAGACACGGUCCCAGACUCCUACGGGAGGCAGCAGUGGGGAAUAUUGCACAAUGGGCGAAAGCCUGAUGCAGCAACGCCGCGUGAGGGAUGACGGCCUUCGGGUUGUAAACCUCUUUUAGUAGGGAAGAAGCGAAAGUGACGGUACCUGCAGAAAAAGCACCGGCUAACUACGUGCCAGCAGCCGCGGUAAUACGUAGGGUGCAAGCGUUGUCCGGAAUUAUUGGGCGUAAAGAGCUCGUAGGCGGUUUGUCGCGUCUGCUGUGAAAUCUGGGGGCUCAACCCCCAGCCUGCAGUGGGUACGGGCAGACUAGAGUGCGGUAGGGGAGAUUGGAAUUCCUGGUGUAGCGGUGGAAUGCGCAGAUAUCAGGAGGAACACCGAUGGCGAAGGCAGAUCUCUGGGCCGUAACUGACGCUGAGGAGCGAAAGCAUGGGGAGCGAACAGGAUUAGAUACCCUGGUAGUCCAUGCCGUAAACGUUGGGAACUAGAUGUGGGGGCCAUUCCACGGUCUCCGUGUCGCAGCUAACGCAUUAAGUUCCCCGCCUGGGGAGUACGGCCGCAAGGCUAAAACUCAAAGGAAUUGACGGGGGCCCGCACAAGCGGCGGAGCAUGCGGAUUAAUUCGAUGCAACGCGAAGAACCUUACCAAGGCUUGACAUAUACCGGAAACGUCCAGAGAUGGUCGCCCCGCAAGGUCGGUAUACAGGUGGUGCAUGGUUGUCGUCAGCUCGUGUCGUGAGAUGUUGGGUUAAGUCCCGCAACGAGCGCAACCCUCGUUCUAUGUUGCCAGCACGUUAUGGUGGGAACUCAUAGGAGACUGCCGGGGUCAACUCGGAGGAAGGUGGGGAUGACAUCAAAUCAUCAUGCCCCUUAUGUCUUGGGCUUCACGCAUGCUACAAUGGNCGGUACAAAGGGCUGCGAUACCGUAAGGUGGAGCGAAUCCCAAAAAGCCGGUCUCAGUUCGGAUUGAGGUCUGCAACUCGACCUCAUGAAGUCGGAGUCGCUAGUAAUCGCAGAUCAGCAACGCUGCGGUGAAUACGUUCCCGGGCCUUGUACACACCGCCCGUCAAGUCAUGAAAGUCGGUAACACCCGAAGCCAGUGGCCUAACCCUUGUGGAUGGAGCUGUCGAAGGUGGGAUCGGUGAUUAGGACUAAGUCGUAACAAGGUAGCCGUACCGGAAGG
rnacentral:rRNA from 1 species